rnacentral:rRNA from 1 species
GCAGAACGCGAAGAACCUUACCCGGGAUUGACAUGGCGGUAGUAGGGAAGCGAAAGCGGACCGACCCUUCGGGGAGCCGUCACAGGUGAUGCAUGGCUGUCGUCAGCUCGUGCCGUGAGGUGUUUGGUUAAGUCCCGCAACGAGCGCAACCCUCACCCUUAGUUACCAGCGGGUAAAGCCGGGGACUCUAGGGGGACUGCCGGUGCCAAACCGGAGGAAGGUGGGGAUGACGUCAAGUCAUCAUGGCUCUUACGUCUAGGGCUACACACGUGCUACAAUGGACCGGACAGAGGGCUGCUAGCUCGCGAGAGUGCGCCAAUCCCCAAACCGGUCCUCAGUUCGGAUUGUAGUCUGCAACUCGACUACAUGAAGUUGGAAUCGCUAGUAAUCGUAGAUCAGCUACGCUACGGUGAAUACGUUCCCGGGUCUUGUACACACCG